rnacentral:lncRNA from 1 species
AGCAGCUGCAUGCCGUUCUUCCCUUCCCCUUUCACAACAGAAACGUGAAUCAGACCAGUAGAGAUUACUUUGUGAACUUGUUAGGGAGAGAUGAGACCUUGAGAGAGGAGUGGGCAGCUGCAUAGAGGAGAGGAAAAAGAGAGCCGGAAAACGUGAGAGGAAGAAGAAGGAGGAGAACCAGCAGCUGAAUAGUGUCAAACCUUCCUCAAACUUAGUUAAAUUCAGAAGGU